rnacentral:misc_RNA from 1 species
GUCAAAUUCAAGCAAAAAGAAAAGCUGCAAAAAGGGAAAAUAGAAUCAAAGGUUUAGAUAAGGAAGUCACUGGUAACUAAGCCAGUUGGUUCUUCUGGACAUGAAUGAUGGAGUAUGCAUCAGUGUACAUUGUUGCAAGAACCAAAGGGUAUAUUUCUCCAGGUGAUGUCUUGUCGCAGUGUGAGAUGCUAAGCAACUAGAAACUAUUACAAGGGUCUAUGGUAUAUAUGUAUUUAUAUACUAAUUAUAUGAAAGCCAGGCGUAUGUAACGUUAACUAGAUGCCUGCCACCUUGGAUAAGUCUACAACAUGUUUAGACUCAAGUCUAGUGCCACGUAUUUGAAUGUUGAGUUUUGAUAUUUGAACUUCCAAGCCCAUCCAUAAAGAAUAGUACUGUUUCGCUACCUUUAGAGAUCAAUAUUUUGAACGUCUGUAUUAAUUGUAAAAGCUUGUAUAGCUAUUCUGGUUAAUUUGGUGCUUGUUUUAUUUGGAUUCUGUUGCGCUCAGUACGGGAAAAAGGAGCACUUUUUC